GAUGAACGCUAGCGGGAGGCUUAACACAUGCAAGUCGAGGGGCAGCAUAGGGUAGCAAUACUCUGAUGGCGACCGGCAAACGGGUGAGUAACGCGUAUGCAACCUACCCUGUACAGGGGGAUAACCCGGAGAAAUUCGGACUAAUAUCCCGUAAUAAUAUCCGGAGGCAUCUUUGGAUAUUUAAAGUUCCGACGGUACGGGAUGGGCAUGCGUAACAUUAACUGGUUGGUAAGGUAACGGCUUACCAAGGCUAUGAUGUUUAGGGGUCCUGAGAGGGUGGUCCCCCACACUGGUACUGAGACACGGACCAGACUCCUACGGGAGGCAGCAGUGAGGAAUAUUGGUCAAUGGGCGCAAGCCUGAACCAGCCAUCCCGCGUGCAGGAAGACGGCCCUAUGGGUUGUAAACUGCUUUUCCAGGGAGAGAAACUUACGCACGUGUUGCGUGACUGACGGUACCCUGGGAAUAAGCAUCGGCUAACUCCGUGCCAGCAGCCGCGGUAAAAAUCAACGUGUA
rnacentral:rRNA from 1 species